rnacentral:lncRNA from 1 species
CACAUUUACACAUAUAUAUAUAUAUAUUCAUAAUAUAUAUAUUCCAAUUUAGUUCAACCAAUAUAAUUUCAUCACAUAUCAAGACAAUCCAUUUCAAUUGUAAAACACAAUAGUUCUCACCUCAAUCACUUACUAUAACAUUUAACCAAAAUACAACAAUUAAUAAUUAGAUUCUAAUUACAGAAAUACAAACCAGGAAUUCCGAGCUAUUCGAUGUCGAAUAUAUUUUUCCCCUUUUUAGUCGAGAAUUCCGGUACGACGCUAGUUACGAAAUUAAAACAAUAAAAAAUCAUCAAUACAACACCAUUCAAUCUCACAUUAAAUAUUUCAAUUUUUACUUAAUAUUUGCCUAAAUUUCAAUUUAGUCCCUAAACCGAGACUAACUUUUAUUCUCAAAACUAAUUUCAUAUUUUCAUUCCAUUCCCACUUUAAACUAAUUUAACUCUCUAAUUUCACCAUAAAUCCUUAAUUUUGAAAUUCUCUCAAUUUAGUCCCUAUUAAUUCAAAACCUAUAAUUUAUUUUACAGUUUAAUCCAUUUCUCUAUUAUAAUUUGAAAUUUUAUCAAUUUAAUCCCUAAUUCUUCAAUUAAUUCAACAUAAACAACAUCUAAAAAUUUACAAACUUUCAAAAAUUUCAACUUAAAUCAAGUAGUAUUUUGUUCUAGGAUUCCAAAAACAUCAAAAUUAUAAGAAUAGAGACUAAAUUAACUUACCAAUCAAACCUUGAACCUUGAAAUCCCAAAUUUUCUUUCUUUCCUUCCCUUUUUCUUUUUCUUUCCUUUCUCCCCUGUUUUCGAUUUGCUAUUCUGUUU